rnacentral:rRNA from 1 species
UACGUAGGGUGGCAAGCGUUAAUCGGAAUUACUGGGCGUAAAGCGUGCGCAGGCGGUGAUGUAAGACCGAUGUGAAAUCCCCGGGCUUAACCUGGGAACUGCAUUGGUGACUGCAUUGCUGGAGUAUGGCAGAGGGGGGUGGAAUUCCACGUGUAGCAGUGAAAUGCGUAGAGAUGUGGAGGAACACCGAUGGCGAAGGCAAUCCCCUGGGCCUGCACUGACGCUCAUGCACGAAAGCGUGGGGAGCAAACAGG